AAGAAGAAGAAGAAGAAGAAAAGGAGGCUGAAGAGGAGACUCCGGUGACAUUUACAGCCACAGGAGGGCACAGGAUUUAUCUAUGGCCUCCACCGUGAAGGAAGCGCUUGUCGCAUCAGUGCUUGAACACAGCCUUCUUCUCUACCUCUGUUUCCAUCUCACCCUGGAUGCUUCCCGUGAUUUCCCAUCCAAUAAGAGAAGGAGAGUGGAGUUUUGCUUGCCCUGGCAGCCAAACAUCUUGGGGCUUGCUCCAGGCUCCGCCUCCCACACGUCCACCGCCAGUGUGGACUCCUAGGCUCUUCCCCAGAUGCUGUUUUUCCAUCCCAGGAGCCGACCUCAUUGUUCCUAGGGCUGAAGCCAUCCUAUAAGACAACACUUGCCAAUUUGGGAUUGAUGGCGGUUUUGCGUUUGUGGCACUAGAGGAGCCAGCUUGUUCCAUUGUCCUUUGUCACGAAAACGAUAUUAAUAGCCUUUCCUUUCCGCUGAGCCCAAACAUGGCUGAAAACACAGAAGAGUGCCUGGCAUGUCGCACAUGGACACAACCUGGAAAGUCACUGGCUUAGGAGCCUUGCUGUUGUUUGUGGAAAGUGCCAGAACCUGGCUCUGCUUCCUGCCCUCACAGAACAGCAUGACAUUUGGCUCAAUCAAGCUCCCGUCAUGGGUUGCCACACAAACAUUGCCUGUCUUGUGCUGUCAUUUCCUGGCAGUGAACAAUCACUCUCCAUUGCCUCAGGAUGCUCUCUCUCAUCAUGUCCCUCUCGCGGCAGCUGAACCAGCCCUCAAAAAAGCAGCUGUACAGCUGGAGUCGUUCUUUUGGGAACACAGGCAGGAACAAAGCCAGUGUGGCGUCUCUGGAAGAGCACCAACUGUGCAGCCCAAUUGAGGAACGGCCCCCCUCCCCCGCCAUUAACCUGUCAGAGCCACACACGUGCCUUCCUGUCAUUUCUUCAUCUGACACCUUGAGAUUGGGAAAGUGGCAGCAGGAACUCUCCUUUUACACAAUCACCGACUGGCCUCACCCCACAGCGCUGGCCACUGGACAUGACAACACAGCUCCAGCAGCCAAGCUAACCAGUUGUCUUUCCAGCUCUUUCCUCAGUUAAUAUGCAUCGUUGUUCUUGGCCAUACCUUUAACUUCUGAUGCCUCACUUUCUCCCAUUACUUAAAUGCAUUUAUAGAAGACCAAUUCAAGGUGAUUUCUGUAUUCUCAGCAUGGACUGUUCUGUGUUCGUGGGAAAUAUGUUUCUUCAUAUGCACACUGGGAAUAAUUAAGUGCUAGAUAGUAAUUCAUCAAAUAACCAACUAAUAUGCAUGUAACAUCUAUUUUGUGUAUGUCACAGUGUAUGGAGCUCGCUGUGAAGGUUUAACAGAUUGCUCAGGAGAUUCGUAUCCCUGAAAAGUUAAUGAUGAUUAGUUCAUAUUUUAAAUGACAAAAUGCUGGCUUAUUACUUGGGACUUCUUUGUAAUAGGAAUUUAAGCACAACCAAGGGAUAAGAAGUGAACUCAUUCAGACUUGAGGUUUGGGGAGCAGUAAAUUGAAUGUUAGUAAUAAAUGAUGUGGACUUUCCUUGUUAGAAGGAAAUCCUUCUGGAACCUUCCAGCUUACAAAGCACUAUCCUGACAAGGAAAUGUUACAUAACCCCAAACUGACCAUUAUCUGGUUAUUCGCUUGCAGAGGCAGAAGCUGCCAGACUGUUGAAAUGGUCAUUUCUGAUUCCCAAAAGGUGGAAAUAAUAAAUAAGCAGUUAGAUCUACACUCUAAAGGAUGGAAUGGGAAAAGAUUGACGGUCAUGUGCGCCCCGGUUUGUCCUGCUUACAUAUUGAUGAGGCGCCCACCGGUACAACAUACUUGGUGUGAUUUUUCCUCAUAUCCUGGAAUCCUCAUGGAGGCCCUGUCUCCCGCCUGUGUGUAAUAACAACAGAUCUAUAACUUCACAGGACGUAGAAUCCUAUUUUGUUCAUUCUCACAGUUAAAAGAUUUCAGAUUUUGCGCUUCCCCCUCAGCGAUUAGUUCCAUCUGCCUGCAUCUUAACAGCAGAGAACACGGUUCUGUGGGCCAGGGCAUCUGUGUUCAGGAGACGGAGUUAUCUCCCGAUAAUCCUCCUAGCCUCACAUUAGCAGCUUUAAAUUGUUCAGUAUUUUAGAAACACCAUCACCCCCGCAUAUUAAAUA